rnacentral:rRNA from 1 species
AUUAGAUACCCUGGGUAGUCCACGCGGUAAACGAUGAAUACUAGGUGUCCGGGCUAAAUGAGGUCUGGGUGCCACAGCGAAAGCGUUAAGUAUUCCACCUGGGGAGUACGCCGCAAGGUUGAAACUCAAAGGAAUUGACGGGGGCCCGCACAAGCGGAGGAACAUGUGGUUUAAUUCGAUGAUACGCGAGGAACCUUACCCGGGCUCAAACGCGGUAUGACGGAUCUUUGAAAGGAGGUCUUUCUACGGACAUACCGCGAGGUGCUGCAUGGUUGUCGUCAGCUCGUGCCGUGAGGUGUCGGCUUAAGUGCCAUAACGAGCGCAACCCCCAUCGCCAGUUGCCAACAGGUAAAGCUGGGAACUCUGGCGAGACUGCCGGCGCAAGCUGCGAGGAAGGCGGGGAUGACGUCAAAUCAGCACGGCCCUUACGUCCGGGGCGACACACGUGUUACAAUGGCGGGUACAGCGGGAGGCCAUGCGGCGACGCAGAGCGGAACCCGAAAACCCGUCUCAGUUCGGAUUGGAGUCUGCAACCCGACUCCAUGAAGCUGGAUUCGCUAGUAAUCGCGCAUCAGCCACGGCGCGGUGAAUACGUUCCCGGGCCUUGUACACACCGCCCGUCACACCAUGGGAGUCGGGAAUGCCCGAAGUCAGUGACCCAACCGAAAGGGGGGAGCUGCCGAAGGCAGGCCUGGUAACUGGGGUGAAGUCGUAACAAGGUACC